GAUUUUGAUGCAAAAUAAAACUGGUACUCACAAAGAAGAGUUGAUUUCGCUCCCAGACCAUUGAUAUCGAACCACCAUCGAUUUGCUAAAAAUUGACAAAACACUUGCUUUGCCUGAACACAUGAGAAAAGAAAGUGUAUGAUCGAUUCCGCGGCAGCGCUACACCUUGGGCAAGUCUCGGAUCUCCCAGGCAGACGCCGAUGAAGAAGCUCCAUCACCGGAAGGCGCUCAUGCAAGGCUCGCCUUAGGAAGAUGCCAAUUUUGGAGAGGAGCUUCAAUUUCCACAAUUUGCCCAAGUGUUUUUUCUUUCUUAGAGGUUCGGAAUGAGCUCCAAAGGGGGGUGACUGAACUGAUAAGCUACUCGGUAUCCGGAGGAGACUUCAUAUUUAACAGAUUUAUGAAAUAUCCAUAGGUUAACAGGUGGCUGACUUUGGUUACUACUUGGUUUGUCGAGAAAGCAUUCAACUAUAGGGGAGGUGAAAAAUGUUGAGGGGAAGGAACCCAUGGAUCAGAAAAGAUGUUCACAGAUUAACCAGUUCCGAUGUUUCAGAGAAGACCUUUCUCAAUGACCUUACGGCUCUCAGAUGUCCGUUACGGUACCACGCUGGAAGGGGAAUAAAGUUCGAAGGACAAAUAAAUCCUUGAC